UACGGGGGGAGCAAGCGUUGUUCGGAUUUACUGGGCGUAAAGGGCGCGUAGGCGGCGUAACAAGUCACUUGUGAAAUCUCCGGGCUUAACUCGGAGCGGUCAAGUGAUACUGUUGUGCUAGAGUGCGGAAGGGGCUACUGGAAUUCUCGGUGUAGCGGUGAAAUGCGUAGAUAUCGGGAGGAACACCAGUGGCGAAGGCGGCUACCUGCCCACUCUUGACGCUGAGGCGCGAAAGCUAAGGGGAGCAAACGGGGG
rnacentral:rRNA from 1 species